rnacentral:tRNA from 1 species
GGGGUUGUUGGGGAAAUUGGCCUCCCCGCCCGGCUGUAGCCCGGGUGCCUCUGGCACUGCAGGUUCGAGUCCUGCCGACCCCACCA